GGUUAAGCGACUAAGCGUACACGGUGGAUGCCCUGGCAGUCAGAGGCGAUGAAGGACGUGCUAAUCUGCGAUAAGCGCCGGUAAGGUGAUAUGAACCGUUAUAACCGGCGAUUUCCGAAUGGGGAAACCCAGUGUGACUCGUCACACUAUCAUUAACUGAAUCCAUAGGUUAAUGAGGCGAACCGGGGGAACUGAAACAUCUAAGUACCCCGAGGAAAAGAAAUCAACCGAGAUUCCCCCAGUAGCGGCGAGCGAACGGGGAGGAGCCCAGAGCCUGAAUCAGCAUGUGUGUUAGUGGAAGCGUCUGGAAAGGCGCGCGAUACAGGGUGACAGCCCCGUACACAAAAGCGCAUGUGCUGUGAGCUCGAUGAGUAGGGCGGGACACGUGGUAUCCUGUCUGAAUAUGGGGGGACCAUCCUCCAAGGCUAAAUACUCCUGACUGACCGAUAGUGAACCAGUACCGUGAGGGAAAGGCGAAAAGAACCCCGGCGAGGGGAGUGAAAAAGAACCUGAAACCGUGUACGUACAAGCAGUGGGAGCACCCUUUGGGGUGUGACUGCGUACCUUUUGUAUAAUGGGUCAGCGACUUAUAUUCUGUAGCAAGGUUAACCGAAUAGGGGAGCCGGAGGGAAACCGAGUCUUAAUUGGGCGUUAAGUUGCAGGGUAUAGACCCGAAACCCGGUGAUCUAGCCAUGGGCAGGUUGAAGGUUGGGUAACACUAACUGGAGGACCGAACCGACUAAUGUUGAAAAAUUAGCGGAUGACCUGUGGCUGGGGGUGAAAGGCCAAUCAAACCGGGAGAUAGCUGGUUCUCCCCGAAAGCUAUUUAGGUAGCGCCUCGUGAAUUCAUCUCCGGGGGUAGAGCACUGUUUCGGCUAGGGGGCCAUCCCGGCUUACCAACCCGAUGCAAACUGCGAAUACCGGAGAAUGUUAUCACGGGAGACACACGGCGGGUGCUAACGUCCGUCGUGAAGAGGGAAACAACCCAGACCGCCAGCUAAGGUCCCAAAGUCAUGGUUAAGUGGGAAACGAUGUGGGAAGGCCCAGACAGCCAGGAUGUUGGCUUAGAAGCAGCCAUCAUUUAAAGAAAGCGUAAUAGCUCACUGGUCGAGUCGGCCUGCGCGGAAGAUGUAACGGGGCUAAACCAUGCACCGAAGCUGCGGCAGCGAACGUAUCACUUAAAGCGAUUCAGCGGAUGACGAUUGACGGAGCGAAGCGACGUCAAAGCGUAUACAAAGUCGAGUCGGUUUAAGGAUACGUUCGUUGGGUAGGGGAGCGUUCUGUAAGCCUGCGAAGGUGGCCUGUGAGGGUUGCUGGAGGUAUCAGAAGUGCGAAUGCUGACAUAAGUAACGAUAAAGCGGGUGAAAAGCCCGCUCGCCGGAAGACCAAGGGUUCCUGUCCAACGUUAAUCGGGGCAGGGUGAGUCGACCCCUAAGGCGAGGCCGAAAGGCGUAGUCGAUGGGAAACGGGUUAAUAUUCCCGUACUUGGUGUUACUGCGAAGGGGGGACGGAGAAGGCUAUGUUGGCCGGGCGACGGUUGUCCCGGUUUAAGCGUGUAGGUGUGUGUUCCAGGUAAAUCCGGUUCACUUUAACACUGAGGCGUGAUGACGAGGCACUACGGUGCUGAAGCAACAAAUGCCCUGCUUCCAGGAAAAGCCUCUAAGCAUCAGGUAACAUCAAAUCGUACCCCAAACCGACACAGGUGGUCAGGUAGAGAAUACCAAGGCGCUUGAGAGAACUCGGGUGAAGGAACUAGGCAAAAUGGUGCCGUAACUUCGGGAGAAGGCACGCUGACAUGUAGGUGAAGUGAUUUACUCAUGGAGCUGAAGUCAGUCGAAGAUACCAGCUGGCUGCAACUGUUUAUUAAAAACACAGCACUGUGCAAACACGAAAGUGGACGUAUACGGUGUGACGCCUGCCCGGUGCCGGAAGGUUAAUUGAUGGGGUCAGCGCAAGCGAAGCUCCUGAUCGAAGCCCCGGUAAACGGCGGCCGUAACUAUAACGGUCCUAAGGUAGCGAAAUUCCUUGUCGGGUAAGUUCCGACCUGCACGAAUGGCGUAAUGAUGGCCAGGCUGUCUCCACCCGAGACUCAGUGAAAUUGAACUCGCUGUGAAGAUGCAGUGUACCCGCGGCAAGACGGAAAGACCCCGUGAACCUUUACUAUAGCUUGACACUGAACAUUGAGCCUUGAUGUGUAGGAUAGGUGGGAGGCUUUGAAGUGUGGACGCCAGUCUGCAUGGAGCCGACCUUGAAAUACCACCCUUUAAUGUUUGAUGUUCUAACGUGGACCCGUAAUCCGGGUUGCGGACAGUGUCUGGUGGGUAGUUUGACUGGGGCGGUCUCCUCCUAAAGAGUAACGGAGGAGCACGAAGGUUGGCUAAUCCUGGUCGGACAUCAGGAGGUUAGUGCAAUGGCAUAAGCCAGCUUGACUGCGAGCGUGACGGCGCGAGCAGGUGCGAAAGCAGGUCAUAGUGAUCCGGUGGUUCUGAAUGGAAGGGCCAUCGCUCAACGGAUAAAAGGUACUCCGGGGAUAACAGGCUGAUACCGCCCAAGAGUUCAUAUCGACGGCGGUGUUUGGCACCUCGAUGUCGGCUCAUCACAUCCUGGGGCUGAAGUAGGUCCCAAGGGUAUGGCUGUUCGCCAUUUAAAGUGGUACGCGAGCUGGGUUUAGAACGUCGUGAGACAGUUCGGUCCCUAUCUGCCGUGGGCGCUGGAGAACUGAGGGGGGCUGCUCCUAGUACGAGAGGACCGGAGUGGACGCAUCACUGGUGUUCGGGUUGUCAUGCCAAUGGCACUGCCCGGUAGCUAAAUGCGGAAGAGAUAAGUGCUGAAAGCAUCUAAGCACGAAACUUGCCCCGAGAUGAGUUCUCCCUGAGACUUUAAGUCUCCUGAAGGAACGUUGAAGACGACGACGUUGAUAGGCCGGGUGUGUAAGCGCAGCGAUGCGUUGAGCUAACCGGUACUAAUGAACCGUGAGGCUUAACCUU
rnacentral:rRNA from 1 species